rnacentral:rRNA from 1 species
CAGUAGCCGCGGGAAUACGAAGGGGGCUAGCGUUGCUCGGAAUGACUGGGCGUAAAGGGCGCGUAGGCGGCGAUCAAAGUCAGGCGUGAAAUUCCUGGGCUCAACCUGGGGGCUGCGCUUGAUACUUGGUUGCUUGAGUGGGGAAGAGGGUCGUGGAAUUCCCAGUGUAGAGGUGAAAUUCGUGGAUAUUGGGAAGAACACCGGUGGCGAAGGCGGCGACCUGGUCCUUGACUGACGCUGAGGCGCGAAAGCGUGGGGAGCAAACAGGAUUAGAUACCCGGGUAGUCCCUGUCUCUUAUAC